GAAACUUGGGCAGUUGUGGCAUGUAGGACAUGUCUACAGUGAGCUUUUUGCAGCUGCCAGACCAACUUCAUGUGUCGUGAGGAUAAGCGUUCCAGAGACGGGAGGUACUCUUACAGUCAGGAGCUCCUGAAGUACCUGAGGCAGACUGUACGAGCGCUCCCACUGCCAUUUGGGAGUUCUAGUGCCCUCAUGCACCGGAGCAGGGACUUGACAUCUGCACAGCAAUCAAUCUGCCUAAAUCUGGCCAAGUUAUAAGUUAUUUGUUAAAUCUGCUUCAGAGACUUGGUAGAGCCCAGCAGCUGAAAUCUUCCAAGUUCCUAUCUUUUCCAUCCUCUCACAGCUCCUGCUAGCCAGACUGCACGCACUAUCCCCACACAGCAACUGAGCAUACUGAAGCCCACAGGACCAGGGGCCUCUGCUUAACAGCUGGAAAAUCCACGCCUUGAUUCUGUACACAAGGAAUUGACAGCAUGCAAAUGUGGAACUGAACGAAGGCAGCACGCUCGUUAGCACGUCCAGCAGGGCUUGAAACAGUUUCAGUUGCCCCCCCCACUUCCAGCAUUAUUAGACUAUACCAGCACUGCCUGCCUAGGCAAGGGAGGAAUAGGAAAUAAGAGCCCGUGAUAUCUCUGUGUG